rnacentral:rRNA from 1 species
GACGAACGCUGGCGGCGUGCUUAACACAUGCAAGUCGAACGGAAAGGCCCUGCUUUUGUGGGGUGCUCGAGGGGCGAACGGGUGAGUAACGAGUGAGUAACCUGCCCCUGUCUUUGGGCUCAAUUCAAGAAACUGGGGCAAAUACCGGAUAGGCGUUCCUGCUGCAGGGGGGGGGAUGGAACGUUUCGGUGGGUGGGGAUGAGCUCGCGGCUUAUCAGCUUGUGGGGGGGGGGGUGGCUUACCAGGGCUUUGACGGGUAGCCGGCCUGGGUGGGUGACCGGCCACUUUGGGAUUGGGAUAGGGCCCGGACCCCUACGGGGGCCAGCGGGGGGAAAUAUUGCACAAGGGGCGGAACCCUAAGGCAGCAACGCCGCGGGCGGGAUAACGCCCUUCGGUUUGUAACCCGCUUUCGCCGGUGACGAGGCGUUAGUGACGGUAAUGGGUAAAGAAGCACCGGCUAACUACGUG